UACAGAGACUGCGAGCGUUAUUCGGAUUCACUGGGCGUAAAGGGUGCGCAGGCGGCUAUCCAAGUCAGUGGUGAAAGCCCGGAGCUCAACUCCGGAACUGCCAUUGAAACUGUUUAGCUUGAGGAUGAGAGAGGUGAGUGGAAUUCCCAGUGUAGAGGUGAAAUUCGUAGAUAUUGGGAAGAACACCGGUGGCGAAGGCGGGUCUCUGGGCCGAUACUGACGCUGAGGAGCGAAAGCGUGGGGAGCGAACAGG
rnacentral:rRNA from 1 species